GGUUAAGCGACUAAGCGUACACGGUGGAUGCCCUGGCAGUCAGAGGCGAUGAAGGACGUGCUAAUCUGCGAAAAGCGUCGGUAAGGUGAUAUGAACCGUUAUAACCGGCGAUGUCCGAAUGGGGAAACCCAGUGCAAUUCGUUGCACUAUCGUUAACUGAAUACAUAGGUUAACGAGGCGAACCGGGGGAACUGAAACAUCUAAGUACCCCGAGGAAAAGAAAUCAACCGAGAUUCCCCCAGUAGCGGCGAGCGAACGGGGAGCAGCCCAGAGUCUGAAUCAGCUUGUGUGUUAGUGGAACGGUCUGGAAAGUCCGACGGUACAGGGUGAUAGUCCCGUACACCAAAAUGCACAGGUUGUGAACUCGAAGAGUAGGGCGGGACACGUGGUAUCCUGUCUGAAUAUGGGGGGACCAUCCUCCAAGGCUAAAUACUCCUGACUGACCGAUAGUGAACCAGUACCGUGAGGGAAAGGCGAAAAGAACCCCGGCGAGGGGAGUGAAAAAGAACCUGAAACCGUGUACGUACAAGCAGUGGGAGCACCUUCGGGUGUGACUGCGUACCUUUUGUAUAAUGGGUCAGCGACUUAUAUUCUGUAGCAAGGUUAACCGUAUAGGGGAGCCGCAGGGAAACCGAGUCUUAACUGGGCGUUAAGUUGCAGGGUAUAGACCCGAAACCCGGUGAUCUAGCCAUGGGCAGGUUGAAGGUUGGGUAACACUAACUGGAGGACCGAACCGACUAAUGUUGAAAAAUUAGCGGAUGACUUGUGGCUGGGGGUGAAAGGCCAAUCAAACCGGGAGAUAGCUGGUUCUCCCCGAAAGCUAUUUAGGUAGCGCCUCGUGAAUUCAUCUUCGGGGGUAGAGCACUGUUUCGGCUAGGGGGUCAUCCCGACUUACCAACCCGAUGCAAACUACGAAUACCGAAGAAUGUUAUCACGGGAGACACACGGCGGGUGCUAACGUCCGUCGUGAAGAGGGAAACAACCCAGACCGCCAGCUAAGGUCCCAAAGUCAUGGUUAAGUGGGAAACGAUGUGGGAAGGCACAGACAGCCAGGAUGUUGGCUUAGAAGCAGCCAUCAUUUAAAGAAAGCGUAAUAGCUCACUGGUCGAGUCGGCCUGCGCGGAAGAUGUAACGGGGCUAAACCAUGCACCGAAGCUGCGGCAGCGACACUAUGUGUUGUUGGGUAGGGGAGCGUUCUGUAAGCCUGCGAAGGUGUGCUGUGAGGCAUGCUGGAGGUAUCAGAAGUGCGAAUGCUGACAUAAGUAACGAUAAAGCGGGUGAAAAGCCCGCUCGCCGGAAGACCAAGGGUUCCUGUCCAACGUUAAUCGGGGCAGGGUGAGUCGACCCCUAAGGCGAGGCCGAAAGGCGUAGUCGAUGGGAAACAGGUUAAUAUUCCUGUACUUGGUGUUACUGCGAAGGGGGGACGGAGAAGGCUAUGUUAGCCGGGCGACGGUUGUCCCGGUUUAAGCAUGUAGGCUGGUUGUCCAGGCAAAUCCGGAUAAUCAAGGCUGAGGUGUGAUGACGAGGCACUACGGUGCUGAAGUAACAAAUGCCCUGCUUCCAGGAAAAGCCUCUAAGCAUCAGGUAACAUCAAAUCGUACCCCAAACCGACACAGGUGGUCAGGUAGAGAAUACCAAGGCGCUUGAGAGAACUCGGGUGAAGGAACUAGGCAAAAUGGUGCCGUAACUUCGGGAGAAGGCACGCUGGUGUGUAGGUGAAGUCCCUGCGGAUGGAGCUGAGACCAGUCGAAGAUACCAGCUGGCUGCAACUGUUUAUUAAAAACACAGCACUGUGCAAACACGAAAGUGGACGUAUACGGUGUGACGCCUGCCCGGUGCCGGAAGGUUAAUUGAUGGGGUUAUCCGUAAGGAGAAGCUCUUGAUCGAAGCCCCGGUAAACGGCGGCCGUAACUAUAACGGUCCUAAGGUAGCGAAAUUCCUUGUCGGGUAAGUUCCGACCUGCACGAAUGGCGUAAUGAUGGCCAGGCUGUCUCCACCCGAGACUCAGUGAAAUUGAACUCGCUGUGAAGAUGCAGUGUACCCGCGGCAAGACGGAAAGACCCCGUGAACCUUUACUAUAGCUUGACACUGAACAUUGAGCCUUGAUGUGUAGGAUAGGUGGGAGGCUUUGAAGCGUGGACGCCAGUCUGCGUGGAGCCAACCUUGAAAUACCACCCUUUAAUGUUUGAUGUUCUAACGUUGGCCCCUUACCGGGGUUGCGGACAGUGUCUGGUGGGUAGUUUGACUGGGGCGGUCUCCUCCCAAAGCGUAACGGAGGAGCACGAAGGUUAGCUAAUCCUGGUCGGACAUCAGGAGGUUAGUGCAAUGGCAUAAGCUAGCUUGACUGCGAGCGUGACGGCGCGAGCAGGUGCGAAAGCAGGUCAUAGUGAUCCGGUGGUUCUGAAUGGAAGGGCCAUCGCUCAACGGAUAAAAGGUACUCCGGGGAUAACAGGCUGAUACCGCCCAAGAGUUCAUAUCGACGGCGGUGUUUGGCACCUCGAUGUCGGCUCAUCACAUCCUGGGGCUGAAGUAGGUCCCAAGGGUAUGGCUGUUCGCCAUUUAAAGUGGUACGCGAGCUGGGUUUAGAACGUCGUGAGACAGUUCGGUCCCUAUCUGCCGUGGGCGCUGGAGAAUUGAGGGGGGCUGCUCCUAGUACGAGAGGACCGGAGUGGACGCAUCACUGGUGUUCGGGUUGUCAUGCCAAUGGCACUGCCCGGUAGCUAAAUGCGGAAGAGAUAAGUGCUGAAAGCAUCUAAGCACGAAACUUGCCCCGAGAUGAGUUCUCCCUGAGACUUUAAGUCUCCUGAAGGAACGUU
rnacentral:rRNA from 1 species